rnacentral:lncRNA from 1 species
UCCGUAUGUAUUUAGGUAACCAAUUACAAAAUAACCCUCAUGAUUAUUUAAAUACACAGCCAAUUUCUUUAUCAAGCUCUUGGCCGAAGCAAUAUCCUUGAAAAGCCAACACGGUACAUGUCGUUCAUCUCCUUGUUGCCAUUGACGUCACGUUACCAGUCUUUCCCAACCUAAUGCUGUUUAUUAGAGUCGCAUCGGAUAGAACUCAACCCUUGUCAAUGUAAAUUUAUUAGUAACCUCUUACGAGAAAUAACUAUAGAUCCCGCGAAAUGCAUGGAUGUUAAAUUGGUAGUAGAUAUUAAUCGGUGACGGCAAAUAAUGUUUGACUUUGUCUGAAUAUAAAAUGAACUUAUAAGUUAAGUUUACAUGAACAGUGUAAGCAAGGAAAGAGUAUCCAAUAUUCUUACAACGGGAUGAGAUUCAAAACUUGUCUUUGCUUUCUUCAUAUCAUAUAAUGACAUUACAUCUAUUUAUCAAAAGAUAGGAAGCCAAAGAAAUGAAGACGGGAAGAAGAAAAUUAAACACCCUCUUGUUCACGAAAUCCAUCUUUUGAUCAGAUCCUUCUUCUUCAAUCGUUUCGAGAUUCGGUGCAUUCGAAGGCUUAUAAGGAAAUAUCAAAGGGGAUGGAGCAACCUCAGUCCUGUAUUGCAUGUAACUCGUUCGCUUUCCCAUGACUUGGAAUAAUAAUAAAAAAAAAUCCUUUGAGGGGUUGGGAUGUUGAGAAUAAACAGCAGUUUUGUGCAGAUGCAAGAGGAAGAAGAUGAGAUAUGCAGUUUAUA